AUUGAACGCUGGCGGCAUGCUUUACACAUGCAAGUCGGACGGCAGCACAGAGAAGCUUGCUUCUUGGGUGGCGAGUGGCGAACGGGUGAGUAACAUAUCGGAACGUACCGAGCAGUGGGGGAUAACUAAUCGAAAGAUUAGCUAAUACCGCAUAUUUUCUGAGGAAGAAAGCAGGGGACCUUUGGGCCUUGCGCUGUUUGAGCGGCCGAUAUCUGAUUAGCUAGUUGGUGGGGUAAAGGCCUACCAAGGCGACGAUCAGUAGCGGGUCUGAGGGGAUGAUCCGCCACACUGGGACUGAGACACGGCCCAGACUCCUACGGGAGGCAGCAGUGGGGAAUUUUGGACAAUGGGCGCAAGCCUGAUCCAGCCAUGCCGCGUGUCUGAAGAAGGCCUUCGGGUUGUAAAGGACUUUUGUCAGGGAAGAAAAGGGCGGGGUUAAUACCCCUGUCUGAUGACGGUACCUGAAGAAUAAGCACCGGCUAACUACGUG
rnacentral:rRNA from 1 species